AUUGAACGCUGGCGGCAGGCCUAACACAUGCAAGUCGAAUGGUAACAGGAAACAGCUUGCUGUUUCGCUGACGAGUGGCGGACGGGUGAGUAAUGUCUGGGAAACUGCCUGAUGGAGGGGGAUAACUACUGGAAACGGUAGCUAAUACCGCAUAACGUCGCAAGACCAAAGAGGGGGACCUUCGGGCCUCUUGCCAUCAGAUGUGCCCAGAUGGGAUUAGCUAGUAGGUGGGGUAACGGCUCACCUAGGCGACGAUCCCUAGCUGGUCUGAGAGGAUGACCAGCCACACUGGAACUGAGACACGGUCCAGACUCCUACGGGAGGCAGCAGUGGGGAAUAUUGCACAAUGGGCGCAAGCCUGAUGCAGCCAUGCCGCGUGUAUGAAGAAGGCCUUCGGGUUGUAAAGUACUUUCAGCGGGGAGGAAGGGAGUAAAGUUAAAACCUUUGCUCAUUGACGUUACCCGCAGAAGAAGCACCGGCUAACUCCGUG
rnacentral:rRNA from 1 species